rnacentral:rRNA from 2 species
GAUUGAAACGACUGCUAAGACUGGAUAGGAAACCAAAAGGCAUCUUUUUGUUUUUAAAAGACCUUCUUACGAAGGUAUGCUUAAAGAGGGGCUUGCGCCACAUUAGUUAGUUGGUAGGGUAAAAGCCUACCAAGACGAUGAUGUGUAGCUGGACUGAGAGGUUGAACAGCCACAUUGGGACUGAGACACGGCCCAAACUCCUACGGGAGGCAGCAGUAGGGAAUUUUCGGCAAUGGAGGAAACUCUGACCGAGCAACGCCGCGUGAACGAUGAAGUAUUUCGGUAUGUAAAGUUCUUUUAUUGAAGAAGAAAAAGUAGUGGAAAAACUAUAUUGACGUUAUUCAAUGAAUAAGCCCCGGCUAACUAUGUGCCAGCAGCCGCGGUAAGACAUAGGGGGCGAGCGUUAUCCGGAAUUAUUGGGCGUAAAGGGUGCGUAGGCUGUUAGAUAAGUCUAUAAUUUAAUUUCAGUGCUUAACGCUGUCUUGUUAUAGAAACUGUCUUGACUAGAGUGAGAUAGAGGCAAGCGGAAUUCCAUGUGUAGCGGUAAAAUGUGUAAAUAUAUGGAGGAACACCAGAAGCGUAGGCGGCUUGCUGGGUCUUUACUGACGCUGAGGCACAAAAGCGUGGGUAGCAAACAGGAUUAGAUACCCUGGUAGUCCACGCCGUAAACGAUGAGUACUAAGUGUCGGGGUAAAACUCGGUACUGAAGUUAACACAUUAAGUACUCCGCCUGAGUAGUACGUACGCAAGUAUGAAACUUAAAGGAAUUGACGGGACUCCGCACAAGCGGUGGAUCAUGUUGUUUAAUUCGAAGAUACACGAAAAAUCUUACCAGGUCUUGACAUACUCUGCAAAGCUAUAGAAACAUAGUGGAGGUUAUCAGGGAUACAGGUGGUGCAUGGUUGUCGUCAGUUCGUGUCGUGAGAUGUUAGGUUAAGUCCUAAAACGAGCGCAACCCUUGUCGUUAAUUGCCAGCACGUAAUGGUGGGGACUUUAGCGAGACUGCCAAUUAAACAUUGGAGGAAGGUGAGGAUUACGUCAAAUCAUCAUGCCCCUUAUGAUCUGGGCUACAAACGUGAUACAAUGGCUGUGACAAAGAGUAGCUGAAACGCGAGUUUUUAGCCAAUCUCAAAAAAGCAGUCUCAGUUCGGAUUGAAGUCUGUAACUCGACUUCAUGAAGUUGGAAUCGCUAGUAAUCGCGAAUCAGCAUGUCGCGGUGAAUACGUUCACGGGGUUUGUACACACCGCCCGUCAAAUC